GUCCAUUCGGAUCUGUUUCAAAAUAAAUUCUCAACACAAGAUGCCUUUGUCUCCACAUGGUCAACUUCACCUCUCGUUAUAACCUUUUCUGCUCUUAGCUUUCCUCUCAACACAUCUCUCCCACACUUCCAUGGCUCUCCAUGAUGAAACCACUAACCAAAACACUUCCCAAACCCAUCUCACCACCGCCUUCCGGCGGCCUACUCAUCGAAGAAUCUGGCUGCGUAGGCGUAGACUACCUUUGGUGCGCCUAGGUGGAAAGAAGCCUCGUCGAGAAUUCUUUAUGAGAAUGCUAAGAAAGAUGAGACUAAGGUGGCUGAAAUUGCAUUACUCAUGCAUGUUAAGGAGGCUUAAGGUAUAUUAUAGGAAUUUGAUUAAGGAUCUUGUUGAAGCUGGAGCUACCAUAGAGGCUUAUCAACAAAGGCUUGUAAUGGAGGCUAGUUUUGCUGUUCCUGUUAUGGGUAUUUCUGGCUAUCCUUCCAUGGUUGGAUCAGACCGUACUCGAUCCAUUUUCAUUUAGAAGUUUUUAUUUUUCAUAAUCUACCGUUUUAUUUCUUGUUGUCUUCUAUCUAGUUGUCAAUUAUAAGAAGCUGAAACAAAAAUGUGAAUUAAAUAAAUAAAA
rnacentral:misc_RNA from 1 species